GCCUCUGUAGUGUAGUGGUAGUACGCGCCCCCGCUAUCGCUGAGACGCGGGUUCAAUUCCCGGCUGAGAUA